rnacentral:lncRNA from 1 species
UGUUCCAUCUGCAGGUGUCUAUUCUGCGCUGUGAGGUGCUCAGGGUUAAUGGACCUUUGUGUGCCCCAGACAUGCAGGAAUAUGAUCAACUGAUGCUAAUCUGGAAGCUAAUGAGUAGAAUCAUUUGUGGUUUCAUUAGUUAAAGUCAACCUGAAAUGGAAAUUGCAAUCAAUUUUUGAUUGGAUCGUUGUCAUUGGCUAGUUGCUCUGACCUCAUGUGCAGGACAGGUUGCUGGAUGGGAGGGGUUAUUGUCCCCACACUUACGUUGGUGCACAUGUCAUCAGAGCAGAGAUGUUGUUACGAGAGGACAGUAAUGUUUUUUUUUUUUAUUAUUAUUUAAAGAUCACAAGGGCAAAAGAUUCUAAACAAAUGAUGAUGUGCACAGAUAAAUCAUUACAAUGAACACUGCAAUAUUCUAAAAAAAUAAAAAUAAAGAUUGGACCCAUUGGAAUUUCAUUGUAUAGACCAAUUUGUUGCCUCCUUUUGUGGAACAAAGAGUGGAAAAACUCUUUGAAUGACAUGAGGGUGAGUAAAUGAUGGCAGAAUAUUAAUUUCUUUGUGAACUACCCUUUUACAAACAGGUGGGUGUAUAAUGUUUUUUAAUUCAGCUGAACAAUAGCCGAGGAAAAAUUUGUUGCCAGAAAAAGUGGAGCUCUGACACUGUGACAGAUAACUAUCAGAAACUAGGACAGUUCUCAGAGGGACAGUAGGGGACAUGACAGCAGGGACAGGGACUCAUGAUGAAGACCCCUCACCUCAGAGUUUGAUUUAAGCCCCACACACACUAAUACACCUCCGUUCCUUGAAGUGUCCUUCACUUUGAGCAGGUGCUGUUUCAUGGUGACCUGUUUGGCGGUGGAACAAAGACACUCUCCUUCCUUUUUUUCCUUGUAUUCAGUGUUCCAAAGAUAAAAGACGUUAAUUUCAUUCUCUGUGCCACAAAUUUUUCUUCUCAGACAACCGCGUUUGCACCAGUUGCUUUUCUUAGCGACUGCUUUUAGACCGGACUCAUUGAUCGUCCUGAAUCCACGUCAGUCCUUCUGUCUCCACAUCUCCAUGGACGUGUACCCACCGAUUGUCCUCAUCAGCCCAGCCCGACAGACCUCCUCAGGGGGGCCGCUCACAGGAAGCAUCACUGGGAUCUCGAGUGAAAAUCUCCAUCUAACCUCGUGAACACCAGUGAGAGCCGAAGCGUCAUCUCCUGAAAGGAUAACAGUGAGUUUUGAAUUAGUCUUUCUUUAUUUACAGUGAUUCGGGAUUCCUGCCUGUCAUCAUGGACACGCCAGU